rnacentral:rRNA from 1 species
UAAGGAAUAUUGGUCAAUGGGCGCAAGCCUGAACCAGCCAUGCCGCGUGCAGGAAGACGGCCCUAUGGGUUGUAAACUGCUUUUGUCAGGGAAUAAACCCCCGCUCGUGAGCGGGGCUGAAGGUACCUGAAGAAUAAGCAUCGGCUAACUCCGUGCCAGCAGCCGCGGUAAUACGGAGGAUGCAAGCGUUAUCCGGAUUCAUUGGGUUUAAAGGGUGCGCAGGCGGAUUGGUAAGUCAGGGGUGAAAUCCCACAGCUCAACUGUGGAACUGCCUUUGAUACUGUCAGUCUAGAGUAUAGUUGAAGUGGGCGGAAUGUGUCAUGUAGCGGUGAAAUGCUUAGAUAUGACACAGAACACCGAUCGCGAAGGCAGCUCGCUAAGCUAUAACUGACGCUCAUGCACGAAAGCGUGGGG